GUUCUCUACCCGAGAGCGAUUCCUGCACGAAGCCCCGGCAGCGCCAGAGAAGGAGCCCCCUGGAGGUGUAGAUGGUUCUCGGGUUGUGGUUUGGAGAAAUGAGAUUUCUGCCUCAGCUUCAACACAGUAAAGAGGUCAGGGUCGGCUGCUUUUUGAAAAUCGUCAAUACUGGCAGAAGCGAUUGCAUGACAACAAACCCGGAGCGUAGAACGUCUUAUGAAGAAAAGGUCAUCAUCUUCAUCAUCAUCAUCAUCAUCAUCCUUUUUAUCCUCGCUCCUCUCUCUAACAUGAGGCUCACUUGUCCCCCUUGUGGCCAAAGUGUCAGCUGCAGUACAUUUGGGUCUCUGGGAGGCAGCAAGAUGAAUUGUUGGAUAAAACACAGGCUGCAGUCAAAUCACCAGCUGUUGUCCGUAAUGAUGAAAACAUCCCUAACUUAGCAUGAAUUUAUAAUUAUGCAGCAAGAAAAUUUGAAUCUCUUUACUGGAACUUUUCAAUUCCCAUUCAGCUUCCCAGGAGA